GCCACAAGGUGAUGGUAUUGUGAGAAAAUGUGGUGGUUUGCCUUUGGCUAUAAAGGCAAUCAGAAGGCUAUUGAGAACGAAAACAGAUGGAGAAGAUUGGGAUGAUCUGUUGAAUAGUGAGAUAUGGGAUCUAGAAAAUGCAAAUGAAAUUGUUCCAACCCUUAGGCUAAGCUACCAUGAUGAUGAUGAAGACAAUCGAAACACUUUAAAGCACUAGUGGGCCAACCGAAUAUCUUAUAUGUUACUACUAAACUUGCAGGGAACUUAUACCCAUGGCAUGCUAAAGGAUCUUCAACAGCAGUAUUUAGAAAGAUUUUAGCAGUGUAAUAUACAGCAAAAUGGAGUAAACGGUCACAUAUGUUCAUUGAAUCAGCAUUUUAAUAACAAUCAAAGUCUUAAGUGUCAUCGCCAUUUGUUGACCCGUUUUCCCCUGUGCAGCUACCAGAUAACUGGGAGAAUACACCCCUUAGCCAUUAUAGCUGGUCCUACGGGACGUGACAUGGUGGUUGUGGGCUUGAUCUCUUAAAGGGUGGUUUUGUUCCAACGGUGGAAAUAGAAGGCGGUGGGUGGUGGUUGACGUGGGCGGUAACAGAGCGAGAGAUUGUGAGGUAGCGACCGGAUAUGGGUGACGCCCGCGGGGAGGGAUUUAUUGGAGACGGUGAGGGGUGGUCGCUGGUCUUUAGUCUUUAUGCCAUUGCAUCUAAAUAUUUUUAAAGGUUGCAAAUAGUCCCUAACAAGAUAUAAAGUUGUAUCUUAUUAUUGCAAUAAAAUUUAACCUUAUUAUUAGUUGGAAAA